GCGCCAGGGCUGGUGCAACCGGGCGGAGAGCGCCGGCGCCGCGGCCGCAGACAAAGGGCCGCCGCGCUCCGUCUGCCUCGGGAAGGGGACUUUGUCCGAAUGACGCUACAUUCCUGCAGCCCAAAGGCAUCCUGCCGAGCAUCCUCUGUCAAGGUGCUGCAGAUAAGUGGGUGAAAGAGGAUGUCCUCUCGUCUGAAGCCUCUGAAGGGUCCUGGCCUGGCAGCUGAGUUCUUUUUGUACUUGGGACAGCAGAUGUAACUGCAGAGCUCGUGCGAGAGUGUGACUUUGCCCAACUCCUGACUCACCAGACUGGUUGGGGUUUUGGAAUCAAAACGGAACUUGUAGAAAGAUAAACUGGC
rnacentral:lncRNA from 1 species